rnacentral:rRNA from 1 species
AAUYUUGCGCAAUGGGGGAAACCCUGACGCAGCGACGCCGCGUGGAGGAUGAAGGCCUUCGGGUUGUAAACUCCUUUUCUUAGGGAAAAURAUGAUGGUACCUAAGGAAUAAGCCACGGCUAACUCUGUGCCAGCAGCCGCGGUAAUA